GGGGAAGGCAGGCCCGGCCGGCUCUCUGCCGCCGCCCCCCGCCGCCUCUCCCCCUCAGGGGGCGGCAGCUCGCCCGCCGUGCCCCCCCGGGCCGAGGGGCCUCCCUCCUGCCUUCUCCCCCUCUGGGUGUUCCCGGCAGGUUUGGCCUGGCGGAGUUGAGGCCACGCAGAAGCGUUCCCCGGGGGGCGACGGUGGGAAGGGCUGAGGGGAGCCGUCGUGCUGGGUAUCGGUAUGGCCGGGGUGUCUUCUGGGCUCUGUAGUAGCCAGAAAACGUCUGCAGAGUCGUUCCAAGGUGUCUGCAGAGCCGCAGAAGUCGUUCCAAGGUGUCUAUGAGGGAAAAAGGUGACAGGGAGAUGACAAGAAGUCUUUCUUGCUCCUGAUGCUUUGGUCUGCUGCUGCAGAGAUGCUGUAUGCUUCCCCUGCUGCAGUGGUCAUGAAGUUUUGUGUAUAAAUGGGACUGCUUCAUAUGCAGCAAGGGGUUUUGCCUGGUAUGUAUCGUCUGUUUUGGUAAGGGAAAAGAUUUGCCUGCUUACGGAUCUAGGACUCAAAUAUCUGUGGGAUUUCCUAAGUCCUUGCUAAAGAUCGUCGGUGCGAUACCACAGUGGUCAGGAUAUCAGCUGCCUCCAAAGUCUGUAAAGGGGAAAAUUGGGCAUUCUCCAAAAACUGCUGUUGGCAGGAUUGAUUCCUUGAUGAUAAAUGUGGAUAUUUGCUGAAUUUUCAGAAAGAAAUAAAGAACCUGCCAUUGUGCCAUCAGGCUGGAUGUCAGUAUCUUACACAGGGAAAUGGAAUAAUGCAUCUUACUGUUGGAAGGAAGAAUCUGAAAUUGUAUUUGAGGAGGCAGUCAUCAUGCAUGCAGAAUGAAUACUGCACAUAACAGUAGCAUGUUUCCUCAGUAUUGUCACUUACAGCAUCAAGGGACCCUGAGAACAACCAAAAAAACCGAAUAGGAGCUCUUAAGUUAUAUGCACAUCUGUACACCUGACUGAAAGAUCAGAAUGAGGAGCAGCACAACUAGCUCUUCCGCUGAGCACAGACAAAACAUCUUUUUUAAAAGACUUUUAUUCGUUUUAAAUAGCUUGAUAAAACCCACCAAUCGGUAUUCAGAGUUCAAUUGUAAACAGUUACAGUAAUUUACCACUGUGUACUGAUUUUGUACAUUAAGCUAUUUGCAGUGACAAUCCAUAAGACAGGUCAAAUUCAUCAUAUUUAUAAACUGAAAUGCACUGUACUAAGAUAAAACAAUGCCAUAACUGAAAAUAUUCAAAAGACUGAUGUUUAACUCCCUCCUGUGGUGUAAGCAAGCAGCAUCACAAUCGGCUCCUGGCAGCUUAGACAGCACUAUUAUUCAAAAGUCUGUAUUCAUUGCAUUAGGACAACAGAUUUCAAGUUUGCUAUGGAAACUCACAAGUUGAAAAGUGUUAUAAUAAAUUUCUAAAAUACAUACAAAGUUGUAAACAUCUUUCUCUGGAACACACACAAAAAUGGUUUGUGCCAACCUUCUCUGUCUCCCACACUGUAAUAAAAAAAUAAUUAGGCCAAAGACCAAGGCCAUGGACUAAAAUUGCUUUGCAUGGGUAACAUCACAGUUCACAGAAAGUAUUCUAGUGUCAGCAUUUAAAAUUAGUGUCACCAGCAGGGAGCAGAACCCAUCUUAAAGGAAGUUCAUGGAACACUCAUCUACUGAUGAACCAGGCACUAAGCAAUAGAUUUACCUAUUUUUAGUAACAAAAGCUUAAUUACAUCCAGAUAUUUUUAUAUUUGAAGAAAAGGUGAAAUUGACUACAAGCAGAAAAUAGAACAUUGCUACUUGGAGAAGAUUGUUUUUUAACCAUUUUUGCUAUCAGGUUCUAACUAUAUAGAUCUUGCACAAAAAGAGAUUUUCCAAAGAGACUAUAAUUGAGACUAUAUUGAGAUCACACAAACACAUAGGAUCAUUUCAAGGCAGAUUUUUUUUUUCUGGAAGUCCCUCAGGCCAUUUUCAAAAAUGUAUUAGUUUUCAAAUUGAUUUCGGCAUUAACAAUGAAAUAACUGUUUACUUGGUCUGAAUCUUGUAUCACAAAUUCCAAAAAGACUAAGAUCAUUGAGAUUUUGGAAUUGAAUACAGAAUUAAUUUCAAAGUACACACUAAUACGGCUUACUUAAUGCAGGGUAAUAAAGAAGGAUAGCUUCAUUCUAGCACAUCCAUAUUAUUAUUCUUAUUUUCACAACAACUGCCAGCAGGUAGAUGAUCUGUGUCCUUGUAUUGAGUAUAUGAGCUGAUCAUAAAUAUUAACAUUUUCAUAAACAAGUUGUUUGUUUGAAAGUUCUGUCAAGUGCAGCUCCUCACUGAGGAUUAGAGGCUUUGUAGUCAGAGAUACCAAAAGGGAAUUCAUCACAAGUAUUACAAAAAUCCUAAAUUUUUUUUUUCCAGUUAUUGACUGUGCAUCACAGAAACAAGCAUCAGGACACAUUUUGUAAUACACAGUCUAGAAAAAAAAGUUUUAAAGUAUUAAGAGUACAUUCAUGUGAUUUUUUCAGAAAGUUAUGCUAUGACUUAAAGUUUUGAAGCUAGUGUAACUGUUUCUUAAAUUUCAGCCUCAAUGUAUUUGAUAAGCCCUAAAUCCUAGCUGCAAUUCUCAGCUGACAGAAGUAAACAAACUUAAAUAUUAGAUUUUAAUCAAAGCAAGUGCUUUGUUGGGAAAAAGCAGAAAUAUAUCACACUGACUACUUACUGUUCUGUAAGAUAUACCACUUGCCAUACACCCUCAUGCCAGACUAUGGAUACUUGCAUCUUGAUGUGGUUACUGUCAGUUUGUUAUUCAUUACAGGGGAGCAUUUCUGAAAUUACACAAUUUCAGCAUAUGCUUAUGCUGAGGAAUGAUGUGGAGGGAAGAGAAGGAAAACAUAAGUAGGAUCAGGCCAUAAUUAAAAACAAAAGGAACAACUUGACAAUAAGCUGAUAUAUUGGGGAAGUAAGUACAGAUUUGCUUCUUCCAAAAAUUAAAAGAAUGUAUACUUUUAGUAUAGGUAUACACGCACUCCUUAAGGAGGGGCAAAGGAGGAAAAAAGGAGGAAAAAAAAAAGCAAACUUUGGCAAAGUUUAAGAAACUGCCGUCUUUGAAGUUGUAAAAAAAAAAAAAAAAAAAAAACAAUAACACUGAAGAAGCAAGAGGCUAAAAACUGUCUACAGUUAAAACUGUCUCAUGGUGCAUGAGAACGCAUACAAAUAGUUUCUAUGAUUGCACUAGCUAAUACCACACUGCGAAUUACAACAUCAUCUCUACUGAAUUUUGCAUUGUAAUGUCAAGAAGUAAAUAAUAGUUUGCAUAAGCAUUCCAACAUCAUACUGUGAUAAUACAUUUUUAUCCACAUGCAGAGCUCUGUGCACAUACAUUUAAAAGUAUAUUAUUUUUUUUUUUUAAAGCAGUACGCCAUAUAGUAAAUUUCCACUUAAGUGUAUGUUUGUGGGAAACUAUUAGGCAGUUCUCUAAAUAUUGAGUAUUUUUGUUGUUUUCUAAUGACAGAAACACAAGUUUCCUAUGUAGUACUGGAGGGAUCUGGACACUGGUCGAUGAAAUUUUAAAAAGCAAGAAUUGUUUAAUAGAAAUACCCCUUUUCAGCAGCAGUAGAAUAGCAGGACUUAAGAGGAACUGGAAAUAAGAAGGCAACUCCCGGUUCAGUUUAAAGAUCCCUUGCCCCUAUUAAAAGUUAUUUUUCUGUACUAUAAUAAAUCAUCCAAAAAACAUUCUCAACCCUAACAACACAUUUAUUCAGAAAAGCAAUUUCCAUAUAGAACUUAGAGGCCACAAAAUUCCAUACAAACUGGUUCUAAGCAGAGACAUUUUCUAUCUUUUGAGAUGAGUUGAUAACAAAACAUUUGUGGAGAGAACAGUGGCCUAAACCAUAUAUUGUGUUUGAUUUAUAUACAGUUUCAAAGGAUUGACACCCUUUUGGUUUACUAUUCUCCCACUAGAGAAGAAAAAAAGCCAUUUGAGCAUUGUCUCUGCUAGUCAAACAGUUCUAUUAGUGCAAGAAUAGUGUUUCCCAUUUAUGGCCUCCCCAUGCUUAAAGUGCAAUAUAUUACAUGAGAUUUCAGCAUACCAACCAUCCUUUAUUUGAGUUUCAGAAGGAAUGUUCAAGUUAGAAAGUUACCUUUUAGGCUUCAAGCAAUAAAAUCCAAGGCAAAGUAUAUAAGCUAUCUUAAAAAUGGAUUAAAUCCACUCACUUAAGACAUUAUUUAAGUCUUAUAUUCAAUAUACAUAUAAUACACAAAAAAUAACAUGUCACUUAACUGUAUUGUAUCUGUAUUUAAAGUGAUCCUGUAUUAAGUAAUUAAAGGCCACUCAAUGCAAAUUUUGUUUGAAACAGGACUAUGUUAUCUGGACUGUGAUACAUAGUAUGUUUCAACAUUCCGAGAUUCCCACCUGCACAGGCUUAUCAAUAAUGAGACAGCCCUUGGCACCCCACUGUACACACAGUUAAAUUCUGAUUAACAGGUGGUUUCUCUCAUUUUUCCUUUUUUUUUUUUUUAAUCACCAUUAAGAGUCAGUGUGUUAAAAACUGGAUUAGUAACUUUAUGCCUUCAGCAACGCCUCUUACCUGUUAACAUGACAAUACUACUUACAAUCUUUUGUUUUAUGUACCUGUGGUUCCCAAAAUACAUGGUUCCCAAAUGACGUACAACAGGGAAGAGAAUCUUCCAGGCCAUACUCUUCAUCUGAACAGAGGGGGUUCUAGGCAAAUACAGGUACAACCAUACCAACAGAUUCUCUAAAUAGGAAGUUCAAGAAAUCAGUUGUGGAUUCAGGACUAUGUUUGGGUGCAACUUUAAAAACAAACAAACAAACCUCACCAUACCCAUACCAGAAGAUGGUAUUUCUUUACCUGUGUAGCUGCUUAUAGAAAUUAAAGAUGCAGUUGCACAUUUCUGUUAAGCAAUCAAGCCAGCUUAAACAGGCUCCAGCCCCAACCUCCACCUCCAUUCCUGUACCCACAGCUCUGCCAGCUGUUAAACAUACAGCAGGGUUAAACUGUAUACAGACAACAGUUCACACCAUAACUCAAAUAAGCCACAGACUUUUGGGGAAAUGUCUUUGUUUCUUGUGUUUUGGGGAACCACAUUACCUCAGCAAUCUUGAUCCAUAAAUGCUUGCGUUACUACCACUGCAAGAGUGAUAAACUGCAGUAGUGGAGAUGGGGCAGAAAAGUAUGAACGGCUUGACGAGAAGGAAACUAUUACUGUCAAAAUAAUUAAGAUACAUAAUGCAUUAUUAUUUUGAAGUUUCUGUAGUUUGUGACUAGAAGUCACAUAGUCAGAAGUCUAGAACUUUAACAAUUAAUAAAAAUACACACCAGGGAAAAAGUUAUUUUUUUAAAUUAAAGCAAAUGGCUUUUUAUGUCUUCUAACAUCCAGAAGAAAUAGUCAACCAGUUGGGAUAAAAGCACAGCAUGCCACCUAACACAAGAAGUAGUAUACCUUACUUUUAGCACUCAAGUAAGGCUUAGAAAAAGAUAUAUCCUCCAAUAUCUCGCCCCAUAACACUGCUAACCAACAUCUCAUCUUCAUAAUCAAGGACUUUUCUAUGCUAGUAUACCAACACCCAAGCAAACAUUAGAAACACUACUAGCUUUCCAGGUCAAUACAAUUCAAACUGAACAUAACAUCAUCACUUUGUUUCCAAAGUGAAGUAGGCUAGAUAGUAAAAAUGACGUGAUGUGUCAGCCACUGGCACGAGUUUACUCCGCAUUAAAUCCUCACUUUUAACUCAGACUGAAGAGUUAGCUGAAGACAUAUCCUAAGCCAUCACAUCAAUACCUCCCUCUUUAGGGACGUCCACAGAGCGCACUAAGCCUAUAUACUAAUUCAGUUGUUGAGAAUUUUGGACACUAAGUUCAAAUUUUGACCUACUGCACAAUGAGUUUCGCCAUCUACGUGUCCACAGGAUCGUAUUCCUACAAUUUCUUAUUCACAAGCAGCUCUAUUGAUUUCAACAUGCUUGCUCCAUUGUUUGCCAAACCCUGUUGUCAGAAGUCUGUCCCAAAGCCAAAGUCAGCAGGCCAAGAAAUGAUUACUGUGCCUCAGUGAUAACAAUCACUAUUUCAAGGAAAGAAAACGUUCUCUUAAAAAAUUAUUUAUAGUGUGUCUAUUGUAGCCCAAUAAAGCUCAUGAGAUCCUGCUUAAGUUAGAGCAGUAUCACCCUUGAAAAGGAACACUGCUGAGAAUUAUGCCAUAUUGAAGACCACCACCCCAACAGCUUUCUGAUUCAUAGUGUUCUAAGGACUGAUACAUUAGUUAUGGUUGAUUUCACACUGGGAAUUCAAUUCUACAAGCGGGAGUUUGGUUGGAAAUGGUUGUAAACAGUAGCCAAAGUACUCAGCAAAUACAAACCCUUAAGAAAACAAAAGGAUCUGUGCUAAACAGUCAACUUGAGUUCUAGUCUAGUGUUAACAGGACACCUGCAGAAGUCCCAGAAAGUGUUGAGAUUAAGUUCGUUCCAAUCAGAGGCAGACAUUCUGUGCUAAAAAAAAAAAAAAGCCUCUUAUUUCAACAGCCAGUUUUACCAGCAAUUACACAAGUAUAAUUUUUACUUUAGCUGUCUAUCAGUAAAACCUGAACUGCAACCUUGUCUCCAAGUGAAUCGAUUCAGUUUCUAUUAAUGUUAAAAAAUAGUAACUAUUAAAAUUUUAGUAUGUUUUUACCUUCACUACUGCAUACCAGAGACCUGCUAGUGCAAAAGCUAGGACAGAUAUUACUAGCUGUAUGACGUGAAAACUGGUAGUCACAUAUCGUACACUUGAAAGCAUUGUCUUAUAUCCAAGUGGUUGCUCUGAAGUAACAGGGCUUAAGUAACAAAGAAAAAUACACGAUUUCUGGUUGUUUAAGAGUCCCAUAGCAUAAUCAUUCAGUGAGGCAACUGGAACAGAAUAGAGAUCAGUAAGCCCACCAAACGCCGGCUCUUCAAGAAGUGCAAGCUGCAAUUCAUUCUCUGUGCUGCUUCUCACUUCUAAUUCCAGAAACUGCAGUUCUUGAUUACACUGCACCUUUCCCAGCCAUGCAUGUGCAAAACAUACAAAGUUAUCUCCUGGGCAGCUUAAGAUAAAGUCUGCAGCAAAACUACGAGCUUUCUCCAGCCAACCCAUUACUGAAAUAUUAACGCAGUGAGAAAUCCCAUCAAGCCUGGCUUCCCCAGAAGAAAAACACAGACAAAAUGAAUCUUUCCAAGGAACUGCUGGACUUGAGUUUCUCCCUGCUGAUUCACUCAAACUCAGAGGCAUUUCUUUGCCAACAUAAGGCGGAGGUAUAUUAAUAAAGAGAGAACAAUUCCUGAUGUUAAAAUAAAAUAAUUCUUUUUGUAAACUGC